rnacentral:rRNA from 1 species
UACGAAGGGGGCUAGCGUUGCUCGGAAUCACUGGGCGUAAAGGGUGCGUAGGCGGGUCUUUUAAGUCAGAGGUGAAAUCCUGGAGCUCAACUCCAGAACUGCCUUUGAUACUGAGGAUCUUGAGUUCGGGAGAGGUGAGUGGAACUGCGAGUGUAGAGGUGAAAUUCGUAGAUAUUCGCAAGAACACCAGUGGCGAAGGCGGCUCACUGGCCCGAUACUGACGCUGAGGCACGGAAAGCG